rnacentral:rRNA from 1 species
GGGGAAUAUUGCACAAUGGGCGCAAGCCUGAUGCAGCAACGCCGCGUGCGGGAUGACGGCCUUCGGGUUGUAAACCGCUUUCAGCACCGACGAAGCGAAAGUGACGGUAGGUGCAGAAGAAGGACCGGCCAACUACGUGCCAGCAGCCGCGGUGAUACGUAGGGUCCGAGCGUUGUCCGGAAUUAUUGGGCGUAAAGAGCUCGUAGGCGGUUUGUCGCGUCGGAAGUGAAAACUCAGGGCUUAACUCUGAGCCUGCUUCCGAUACGGGCAGACUAGAGGAAGUUAGGGGAGAACGGAAUUCCUGGUGGAGCGGUGGAAUGCGCAGAUAUCAGGAGGAACACCGGUGGCGAAGGCGGUUCUCUGGGACUUUCCUGACGCUGAGGAGCGAAAGCGUGGGGAGCAAACA